UUGUUGGUAAGGUAAAAGCUUACCAAGGCUUCGAUCAGUAGCUGGUCUGAGAGGACGACCAGCCACACUGGGACUGAGACACGGCCCAGACUCCUACGGGAGGCAGCAGUGGGGAAUUUUGGACAAUGGGGGCAACCCUGAUCCAGCCAUGCCGCGUGAGUGAAGAAGGCCUUCGGGUUGUAAAGCUCUUUCAGCCGGAACGAAACGGUUACGGUUAACACCCGUGACUACUGACGGUACCGGAAGAAGAAGCACCGGCUAACUACGUGCCAGCAGCCGCGGUAAUACGUAGGGUGCGAGCGUUAAUCGGAAUUACUGGGCGUAAAGCGUGCGCAGGUGGUUUUGUAAGUCAGAUGUGAAAGCCCCGGGCUCAACCUGGGAACUGCGUUUGAAACUACAAGACUAGAGUGUGGCAGAGGGGGGUGGAAUUCCGCGUGUAGCAGUGAAAUGCGUAGAGAUGUGGAGGAACACCGAUGGCGAAGGCAGCCCCCUGGGUCAACACUGACGCUCAGGCACGAAAGCAUGGGGAGCAAACAGGAUUAGAUACCCUGGUAGUCCAUGCCCUAAACGAUGUCAACUAGUUGUCGGGCCUUUACGGGCUUGGUAACGUAGCUAACGCGUGAAGUUGACCGCCUGGGGAGUACGAUCGCAAGAUUAAAACUCAAAUGAAUUGACGGGGACCCGCACAAGCGGUGGAUUAUGUGGAUUAAUUCGAUGCAACGCGAAAAACCUUACCUACCCUUGACAUGUAUCGAAGCCCGCAGAAAAGCGGGGGUGCCCGAAAGGGAACGAUAACACAGGUGCUGCAUGGCUGUCGUCAGCUCGUGUCGUGAGUUGUUGGGUUAAGUCCCGCAACGAGCGCAACCCUUGUCAUUAAUUGCCAUCAUUUAGUUGGGCACUUUAAUGAGACUGCCGG
rnacentral:rRNA from 1 species